rnacentral:rRNA from 1 species
GUUGUUGCGGUUAAAAAGCUCGUAGUUGGAUUUCUGUUGAGGACGGCCGGUCCGCACUAUGUGCGUGUAUCUGGUUCGGCCUUGGCAUCCUCUUGAGGAACGUUCCUGCGCUUGAUUGCGUGGGGCGGUAUUCAAGACUUUUACUUUGAGGAAAUUAGAGUGUUCACGGCAGGCAAGCGCCUUGAAUACAUUAGCAUGGAAUAAUAAUAUAGGAUCUUGGUUCUAUUUGUUGGUUUCUAGGGCUAAGGUAAUGAUUAAUAGGGAUAAUUGGGGGCAUUUGUAUUAACGCGUCAGAGGUGGAAUUCUUGGAUUGCGUUACGACAAACUACUGCGAAAGCAUUUGCCAAGGAUGUUUUCAUUGAUCAAGAACGAAAGUAUGGGGAUCGAAGAUGAUUAGAUACCGUCGUAGUCUAUACCAUAAACUAUGCCGACUAGGGAUUGGAGGUCGUUCUUUUUAUGACUCCUUCAGCACCUUAUGAGAAAUCAAAGUCUUUGGGUUCCGGGGGGAGUAUAGUCGCAAGGCUGAAACUUAAAGGAAUUGACGGAAGGGCACCACCAGGAGUGGAGCCUGCGGCUUAAUUUGACUCAACACGGGGAAACUCACCAGGUCCAGACAUAGUAAGGAUUGACAGAUUGAUAGCUCUUUCUUGAUUCUAUGGGUGGUGGUGCAUGGCCGUUCUUA